rnacentral:rRNA from 1 species
AGUGAACGCUGGCGGUAGGCCUAACACUUGCAAGUCGAACGGCAGCACAGUAAGAGCUUGCUCUUACGGGUGGCGAGUGGCGGACGGGUGAGGAAUACAUCGGAAUCUACUUUUUCGUGGGGGAUAACGUAGGGAAACUUACGCUAAUACCGCAUACGACCUACGGGUGAAAGCAGGGGAUCUUCGGACCUUGCGCGAUUGAAUGAGCCGAUGUCGGAUUAGCUAGUUGGCGGGGUAAAGGCCCACCAAGGCGACGAUCCGUAGCUGGUCUGAGAGGAUGAUCAGCCACACUGGAACUGAGACACGGUCCAGACUCCUACGGGAGGCAGCAGUGGGGAAUAUUGGACAAUGGGCGCAAGCCUGAUCCAGCCAUACCGCGCGGGUGAAGAAGGCCUUCGGGUUGUAAAGCCCUUUUGUUGGGAAAGAAAAGCAGCAGGUUAAUACCCCGCUGUUCUGACGGUACCCAAAGAAUAAGCACCGGCUAACUUCGUG